rnacentral:rRNA from 1 species
AUUGAACGCUGGCGGCAGGCUUAACACAUGCAAGUCGAGCGAGCGGCGGACGGGUGAGUAACGAGUGAGAAACUGCCUGAUGGAGGGGGAUAACUACUGGGAACGGUAGCUAAUAACGCAUACACUCAUUUGAGCCCAGAUGGGAUUAGCUAGUAGGUGGGGUAAUGGCGCACCUAGGCGUCAACCCCUAGCUGGUCUGAGAGGAUGACCGGCCCCACUGGAACAGAGACAGGGUCCAGACGCCGACGGGAGGCAGCAGUGGGGAAUAUUGCACAAGGGGCGCAAACCUGAUGCAGCAAUGCCGCGUAGUUGACGCGGGCCUUCGGGUUGUAAGGCACUUUCAGCGAGGCGGCGUUACUCGAAGAGGAAGCACCGGCUAACUCCGUGCCAGCAGCCGCGGUAAUUC